CACCUUUUAACCACCACGCAGCAAAAUUCUAGAAAUGCAAGAAUUUUAGAUGAAGAAAGGGAUAAGAGGAGGAAGGUGAACAUGUAUUUAUUGGCUACCUUCUUAUACAAGGUCUGCAGACCUUCUGUUAUCAAUGAGACACCAAACUCCCAAGAAACAAAAAUGGCACCGUGCCUUGCCAUUUAACUUGCAUAUGUCUCUUAUCACGUUCCAACUUUGACAUAACCACGAGGGAGUGAGUGCAUAGGAAUGCGUGCAGAACCAGACCCAGUGAGAGAAGCAGUAAGUGAUGCUGAGUAGAAGAGAGAAAGUAGGGGUGCCCCCCAGGGCUCAUACCUGUCUAGGGCCAUGGUACUGCUUUAAAGGUAUUUGUAAUACAUGUAAACUAAAUGCCAACCUCAUGCUAACGUCUGAGAGUCUAUAGUUUACUAACCCUAGAAAAUGAGCAUAUCGGGUACACAAGCUUUGAGAAACAAAUAGUCCCAAACUAUUUUUUUAGCUUAUUUUUGAGAGAGAGAGAGAGAGAGAGAGAGAGAGAAUAUGAAUGAGGAAGGAACAGAGAGAGAGGGGGACAGCAGAUCCAAAGUGGGCUCCAUGCUGACAGCAGAGAGCCCGAUGAGGGGCUCGAACUCACGAACAAUGAGAUCGUGACCUGAGCUGAAAUCAAGAUGCUUGACCGACUGAACCACCCGGGGGCCCCUAACCUAGUCUUACCAAUGACAGUCACCCUGCUUUACACGGGCUCCUCAAGACUUUAUUCAUCUUACAGCAGAAAGGCUGUGUCCCCUUUUACUCCUUCUAUCUCCUCCACCCCCUGGCAACCACUUUUCUACUCUGUUUCUCUGAGUUUGACUCCUAUGUGUUUUUCUUUUUUUUACUCCCACAUGUAAAUGAGACCACCCAGUAUUUGUGCUUGUCUGGCUUAUUUCACUAAUUUUCUUAUUUCAG